rnacentral:rRNA from 1 species
CGGGGGGAGCAAGCGUUGUUCGGAUUUACUGGGCGUAAAGGGCGCGUAGGCGGCGUAACAAGUCACUUGUGAAAUCUCCGGGCUUAACCCGGAGCGGCCAAGUGAUACUGUUGUGCUAGAGUGCGGAAGGGGCUACUGGAAUUCUCGGUGUAGCGGUGAAAUGCGUAGAUAUCGAGAGGAACACCUGCGGCGAAGGCGGGUAGCUGGGCCGACACUGACGCUGAGGCGCGAAAGCCAGGGGAGCGAACGGGAUUAGAUACCCCGGUAGUCCUGGCCUUAAACGAUGGAUACUUGGUGUCCGAGGUUACAUAGUCCUCGGGUGCCGGCGCUAACGCAUUAAGUAUCCCGCCUGGGGAGUACGGUCGCAAGACUG